AUACGGAGGGUGCGAGCGUUAAUCGGAAUUACUGGGCGUAAAGCGUACGUAGGCGGUUGGUUAAGUAGAUGUGAAAGCCCCGGGCUUAACCUGGGAACUGCAUUUAAAACUGGCGAACUAGAGUUGAGUAGAGGGGAGUGGAAUUUCAGGUGUAGCGGUGAAAUGCGUAGAGAUCUGAAGGAACACCAGUGGCGAAGGCGACUCCCUGGACUCGAACUGACGCUGAGGUACGAAAGCGUGGGUAGCAAACGGGAUUAGAAACCCCAGUAGUCC
rnacentral:rRNA from 1 species